rnacentral:rRNA from 1 species
GUUAAGCGACUAAGCGUACACGGUGGAUGCCCUGGCAGUCAGAGGCGAUGAAGGGCGUGCUAAUCUGCGAUAAGCGCCGGUAAGGUGAUAUGAACCGUUAUAACCGGCGAUACCCGAAUGGGGAAACCCAGUGUGAUUCGUCACACUAUCAUUAACUGAAUCCAUAGGUUAAUGAGGCGAACCGGGGGAACUGAAACAUCUAAGUACCCCGAGGAAAAGAAAUCAACCGAGAUUCCCCCAGUAGCGGCGAGCGAACGGGGAGGAGCCCAGAGCCUGAAUCAGCAUGUGUGUUAGUGGAAGCGUCUGGAAAGGCGCGCGAUACAGGGUGACAGCCCCGUACACAAAAGCGCAUGUGCUGUGAGCUCGAUGAGUAGGGCGGGACACGUGGUAUCCUGUCUGAAUAUGGGGGGACCAUCCUCCAAGGCUAAAUACUCCUGACUGACCGAUAGUGAACCAGUACCGUGAGGGAAAGGCGAAAAGAACCCCGGCGAGGGGAGUGAAAAAGAACCUGAAACCGUGUACGUACAAGCAGUGGGAGCACCCUUCGGGGUGUGACUGCGUACCUUUUGUAUAAUGGGUCAGCGACUUAUAUUCUGUAGCAAGGUUAACCGUAUAGGGGAGCCGGAGGGAAACCGAGUCUUAACCGGGCGUUAAGUUGCAGGGUAUAGACCCGAAACCCGGUGAUCUAGCCAUGGGCAGGUUGAAGGUUGGGUAACACUAACUGGAGGACCGAACCGACUAAUGUUGAAAAAUUAGCGGAUGACCUGUGGCUGGGGGUGAAAGGCCAAUCAAACCGGGAGAUAGCUGGUUCUCCCCGAAAGCUAUUUAGGUAGCGCCUCGUGAAUUCAUCUCCGGGGGUAGAGCACUGUUUCGGCUAGGGGGCCAUCCCGGCUUACCAACCCGAUGCAAACUGCGAAUACCGGAGAAUGUUAUCACGGGAGACACACGGCGGGUGCUAACGUCCGUCGUGAAGAGGGAAACAACCCAGACCGCCAGCUAAGGUCCCAAAGUCAUGGUUAAGUGGGAAACGAUGUGGGAAGGCCCAGACAGCCAGGAUGUUGGCUUAGAAGCAGCCAUCAUUUAAAGAAAGCGUAAUAGCUCACUGGUCGAGUCGGCCUGCGCGGAAGAUGUAACGGGGCUAAACCAUGCACCGAAGCUGCGGCAGCGAACGUAUCACCCAAGACAACUUUACGGAGUUGACGAUUGACGGAGCGAAGCGACGUCAAAGCGUUCAUUAAAGUCGAGUUGGCUUAGGGAUACGUUCGUUGGGUAGGGGAGCGUUCUGUAAGCCUGUGAAGGUGUGUCGUGAGGCAUGCUGGAGGUAUCAGAAGUGCGAAUGCUGACAUAAGUAACGAUAAAGCGGGUGAAAAGCCCGCUCGCCGGAAGACCAAGGGUUCCUGUCCAACGUUAAUCGGGGCAGGGUGAGUCGACCCCUAAGGCGAGGCCGAAAGGCGUAGUCGAUGGGAAACGGGUUAAUAUUCCCGUACUUGGUGUUACUGCGAAGGGGGGACGGAGAAGGCUAUGUUGGCCGGGCGACGGUUGUCCCGGUUUAAGCGUGUAGGUGUGUGUUCCAGGUAAAUCCGGUUCACUUUAACACUGAGGCGUGACGACGAGGCACUACGGUGCUGAAGCAACAAAUGCCCUGCUUCCAGGAAAAGCCUCUAAGCAUCAGGUAACAUCAAAUCGUACCCCAAACCGACACAGGUGGUCAGGUAGAGAAUACCAAGGCGCUUGAGAGAACUCGGGUGAAGGAACUAGGCAAAAUGGUGCCGUAACUUCGGGAGAAGGCACGCUGACACGUAGGUGAAGUGAUUUACUCAUGGAGCUGAAGUCAGUCGAAGAUACCAGCUGGCUGCAACUGUUUAUUAAAAACACAGCACUGUGCAAACACGAAAGUGGACGUAUACGGUGUGACGCCUGCCCGGUGCCGGAAGGUUAAUUGAUGGGGUCAGCGCAAGCGAAGCUCCUGAUCGAAGCCCCGGUAAACGGCGGCCGUAACUAUAACGGUCCUAAGGUAGCGAAAUUCCUUGUCGGGUAAGUUCCGACCUGCACGAAUGGCGUAAUGAUGGCCAGGCUGUCUCCACCCGAGACUCAGUGAAAUUGAACUCGCUGUGAAGAUGCAGUGUACCCGCGGCAAGACGGAAAGACCCCGUGAACCUUUACUAUAGCUUGACACUGAACAUUGAGCCUUGAUGUGUAGGAUAGGUGGGAGGCUUUGAAGUGUGGACGCCAGUCUGCAUGGAGCCGACCUUGAAAUACCACCCUUUAAUGUUUGAUGUUCUAACGUGGACCCGUAAUCCGGGUUGCGGACAGUGUCUGGUGGGUAGUUUGACUGGGGCGGUCUCCUCCUAAAGAGUAACGGAGGAGCACGAAGGUUGGCUAAUCCUGGUCGGACAUCAGGAGGUUAGUGCAAUGGCAUAAGCCAGCUUGACUGCGAGCGUGACGGCGCGAGCAGGUGCGAAAGCAGGUCAUAGUGAUCCGGUGGUUCUGAAUGGAAGGGCCAUCGCUCAACGGAUAAAAGGUACUCCGGGGAUAACAGGCUGAUACCGCCCAAGAGUUCAUAUCGACGGCGGUGUUUGGCACCUCGAUGUCGGCUCAUCACAUCCUGGGGCUGAAGUAGGUCCCAAGGGUAUGGCUGUUCGCCAUUUAAAGUGGUACGCGAGCUGGGUUUAGAACGUCGUGAGACAGUUCGGUCCCUAUCUGCCGUGGGCGCUGGAGAACUGAGGGGGGCUGCUCCUAGUACGAGAGGACCGGAGUGGACGCAUCACUGGUGUUCGGGUUGUCAUGCCAAUGGCACUGCCCGGUAGCUAAAUGCGGAAGAGAUAAGUGCUGAAAGCAUCUAAGCACGAAACUUGCCCCGAGAUGAGUUCUCCCUGAGACUUAGAGUCUCCUGAAGGAACGUUGAAGACGACGACGUUGAUAGGCC